UUUUUGCGAGAGUCCCAAACAGGACGAAACGCGCGUCCUGAAU
rnacentral:hammerhead_ribozyme from 1 species